rnacentral:rRNA from 1 species
GGAAUAUUGGGCAAUGGAGGCAACUCUUACCCAGCAAUGCCGCGUGAAGGAAGAAGGCUUUCGGGUUGUAAACUUCUUUUCUCAGGGACGAAGCAAGUGACGGUACCUGAGGAAUAAGCCACGGCUAACUACGUUCCAGCAGCCGCGGUAAUACGUAGGUGGCAAGCGUUAUCCGGAUUUACUGGGUGUAAAGGGCGUGUAGGCGGGAAAGCAAGUCAGAUGUGAAAACCAUGGGCUCAACCUGUGGCCUGCAUUUGAAACUGUUUUUCUUGAGUACUGGAGAGGCAGACGGAAUUCCUAGUGUAGCGGUGAAAUGCGUAGAUAUUAGGAGGAACACCAGUGGCGAAGGCGGUCUGCUGGACAGCAACUGACGCUGAGGCGCGAAAGCGUGGGGAGCAAACAG